CAGCCGCCGCGGUAAUACGAAGGGGGCUAGCGUUGCUCGGAAUUACUGGGCGUAAAGCGUGCGCAGGCGGUUGUGUAAGACAGGUGUGAAAUCCCCGGGCUUAACCUGGGAACUGCGCUUGUGACUGCACAGCUAGAGUAUGGCAGAGGGGGGUGGAAUUCCACGUGUAGCAGUGAAAUGCGUAGAGAUGUGGAGGAACACCGAUGGCGAAGGCAGCCCCCUGGGCCAAUACUGACGCUCAUGCACGAAAGCGUGGGGAGCAAACAGGAUUAGAUACCCCUGUAGUCCCUGUCUCUUAUAC
rnacentral:rRNA from 1 species